UUAUUUUUGAUAGCAGCCUCAUGUGAACCCAAGUGAAAUGUACAUGAUUUGUGGUCAAACAGGUAUUUAUUGUCAUUACCCCAGUUCAUACAGAAUUUUUAAUGACUUACAGAAAAAGCAAACCAGAAAGAAGCUAGAACUGAUGUGCGGAUCCCCUUGGCAAAUCUGUAGAGGUUAUGUGAAGAUUAUAGAGAAGAGUUCCACAAUUCAGAAAGCAAGUGAAUGUAUUCAUGUGUGAAUAAUUGGUAUUAUAAUAGUUUGAGUUAUAGAAACUCAGUUCUAAAAAGCAGGAUUCCUCUGACAAUAGUAUUUCUACUGCCUCUGGCACAAAUAGUGCCAAAAGACUGGGUAUCAAUGGAUACAUUUCAGAUGAGUAGUUUUAAAAGGAAUAAUUGAAAAGGUGUUAAUGCCUUAACUUGCAAUUGUAUAUGCUCUGCUAGUUUUUUGUAUUUUUUUUUUUUUUUUUUACAAAGUUAACUCCUAGUUUUUCUUCUGUAAUCCAUUACCUGUUCUGUUUUUGAGAACUUCAAUGUGUCAUGAAUCAUCCAGGCUGAAAAGUGGUUCUGCUCUUGAUGGUUUACGAUCUUGCAGAAGAUAACCACUAAAGUGAAGGAGAGGGGACUCCAGGUUAAGUUUAUUAUUUAGCAGCAAACCAUGAACAUUUGCCCUUCAGUUUUGUAUCAGUGUUACACUUGGGUAGCUCCUUCUUUUUUGAACCAUUGUUUGUCAAGUCCGUGUCAUUCUCUCAGAAGUUCCUUUUUCUUUGUAGUGAAUAUAAAGAGAAUGUGGAUAAUGAAAUCUUGUGCAGACUUCUACAUUUGGUCCCAUUAGUCACUGCUCCAUUCAAAACCCUUGCUACUUGUACUAGACUCUUACUUACUGGAGGAAUUGGGCAGGACAUAAAGACUGCUGGUGUGGUUUUUUGUUUGUUUUUAAAUAUUGCAUUCUUCACUUCAGUUUUCACUCAUCCUUUGAAAGAAGAAAACUGUGAAAGAGCCAAGCCUCUGACCGCAUUAUGUAUGAAAGAAAAUCAGUGUAACAACAUUAAGGGUGCUAAGGAUCUGGAACCAAAAGGUCUAUUUUCAUACGGUCAGGAAAGUAAAAACUGGAGAAUGUACUCAAAGGUGUAUUAGCUAGGGGAUUAUCAGCCUCACUGGGGUCCUGAGGUGUUAAAUGAACUCAAAUCAGAGAUUUAGGUACGUGUAUGAAAUCCUGAAGAAAAAAGGCUUCAGUGGCUGGAAUGGAAGUGGUUGAAAGGAGGAAGGCAUUUAUUUGAAUGUUGGGGAAAAAGUUGAUUCUUAGAAACAUACAGACAAAAAAA